rnacentral:tRNA from 2 species
GGGCCCUUAGCUCAGCUGGUAGAGCGUCCGACUUUUAAUCGGCAGGUCACAGGUUCGAAUCCUGUAGGGCCCACCA